GAUGUGGCUCAGCUGGCAGGGCAUCUGUUUGGCAUGCCAAAGGUUCCAAGUUCAAUCCCUGGCAUAUACA
rnacentral:tRNA from 1 species